AAAAAUGGAAUAUUGUAUUUAAGGAAUAAGAUUUAAUUUUACGAAGAAAUUUUAAAGCAUAUGGUUAGCCUAGGUCAUGUAUUGGACCUUUUUGCUUCCACACUUGACUAGGUCUUAAAGAUCAUUAGUAGGUUUUAAUAUUAAUUUGUAAAUUUAUUAUCUUGCUUAAGUGCAAAAACCAUUUUGAUAUUGAAAAUAAAAAUAUUGAUUAUGAUAUGUUUUUUCUUUUUCCUCUGUUUAUUGAACAAGUAAAAACUUGAUCUUGGGAAUGCUUCAUCAGGAGAAAUGAGGUUGGGAUCUGAGUUACAAACAAUUUUAAGUUAGGAUGAAAAAGAAAAAAGAAAAAAAAAAUGAAAAUACCCUAACAAACGCCAAUAAUGAAUCCAAAUUCCCAAACACCCCCUUAUUUUCAAACUUGGCCCACCACAUGGUUCACCUCCAACUCCAAAGUCCAAUGGUGAGGGCCCAACUUUCCAACAGCCUUGUUCUGCUUUACUCCCUUGUUCUCGAGUCUUGACACAAAAAAAAAAAAAAAAAAAAAAAAAAAAAAAAAAAAAAAGGAGGAGAUCAGAAGACGAUGAUGAUACGGGAUUCCAAAAUCCUGUAAUCCGAAUACCAAAGGAAUCGGCCCUGAUUUUAACAUCAUCAAUCUGCUACUUUAUGCAUCUGGCUUCUUCGGUUUUUCCCAUCAAAGGAACCAAUUAUGCAAAUUGUCUUUGAUUCGAGAUCUCUGUUUAGAUAUGCUGUUGUCCUGUUGAAUAUAUGAUACCCAAAUUUAUCUGUGAUUUUCCCAUUAAAGGGACCAAAAGGCAAUUAGGCCGCUAUAUUUUCCAAUUCCAAUAUGGUUUACCUUUUACAUAAUCCAAAGUCUGAUCUGUAUAUGUUUACAGUUCACAUACUAAUUAAUAUCAUUAUCAAUGA